GCGCUUGCUUCGGCAGCACACGUACCAAAAUUGGAACAAUUCAGAGAUUAGCAUGUACCCUGCACAAAGAAGACACAUAAAUCUGGAGCGUUCAUAGACUAAA
ensembl:snRNA U6 U6 spliceosomal RNA